CACAGUGCCCCGUGGGCAUGUUAACGACUGAAUUUCGUCCUCAGUUCACAGAGAAACUCUGGAGGGUUUUACUUAACGCUGGAUACCGUGUGGAGGCCAGAUUAUAAGGAGGCCAGAAGGACCACAGAGAGAAUGGCAGAAGGACUUCUCAUUUCCCCAGGGGAGAUAUGACAGUGAUACGGACCAGCUGGUGACUUGUGAGGUCCCCCAAGGGACAGCAUCGCUCCUCUGAACAGUCUGGACAGGAGCUGUCAGCCCACUGGGCCGGGGAGGCUGGCAUGUGGCUCCUGGGAAAUGAGCGUUUGUCCGGAUUCCCACCAAGCUCACCUGAUGCCCCAAGAUGAAUGGAUGAAGAAGAUAUGGCAUACAUACAGUG